UGGGCAGCUCUGAGGUAGCUAAGAGAAGGU
rnacentral:piRNA from 1 species